rnacentral:rRNA from 1 species
AAUAUUAGAAAAUGGGGGCAGGCCAGAUCCAGCCGUGCCGCGUGGGUGAAGGAGAGCAUCGGAUCGUAAAGGACGCUAAGUUGGGCGGGAGGGCUGGCGGCUAAUACCCUGAAGGUUCGACGUUACUAACGGAAUAAGCACCGGCUCACUCUGUGCCAGCAGCCGCGGUAAUACAGAGGGUGCAAGCUUUAAUCGGAAUUACUGGGCGUAAAGGGAGCGUAGGUGGUUGCGUAAGAUGGGUGUGAAAUCCCCGGGCUCAACCUGGGCACUGCUUUCAUGACUGCUGAGCUAGAGUACGGUAGAGGGUAGUGGAAUUUCCUGUGUAGCGGUGAAAUGCGUAGAUAUAGGAAGGAACACCAGUGGCGAAGGCGACUACCUGGACUGAAACUGACGCUGAGGUGCGAAAGCGUGGGGAGCAA